GAAAUGCGAUAAGUAAUGUGAAUUGCAGAAUUCAGUGAAUCAUCGAGUUUUUGAACGCACACUGCGCCCCUUGGUAUUCCGGGGGGCAUGCCCGUUCGAGCGUCAUUACACCCAUCAAGCCUCGCUUGGUAUUGGGCCCCGGGGGUGACCCGGGCCCGGAAGUCGUCGGCUGGCGAGCCCUGAUCUCAGCGUCGUGGUAAAUCAUUCGCGAGGAGAGGGGUGACCCGGGCCGUUAAAUCAUUUCUUCAAGGUUGACCUCGGAUCGGGUAGGAAUACCCGCUGAACUUAA
rnacentral:misc_RNA from 1 species